UAACAGGAAAUUUAAGGGCGCACGGUGGAUGCCUUGACUGUAAGAGGCGAUGAAGGACGUGGCGUAGCUGCGAUAAGCUUCGGGGAGGUGUGUAGCAACCUUUGAUCCGGAGAUUUCCGAAUGGGGAAACCCCAUCAAGUAAACCUUGAUGAUCUUAUUUUUUAUUUAAUUUAAGAAGCAUACCCUGGGAAGUGAAACAUCUCAGUACCAGGAGGAAUAGAGACAAAUAUGUAUUUCCUAAGUAGCGGCGAGCGAAAAGGAAGAAGCCCAAACCGAAGUAGCAAUACUUCGGGGUUGUAAGAUGACAAUGUAGAUUUCUAGAAGAGUCAAAAAAUUAAUUAUUAGUUGAAGUUGCUGGAAAGCGACACCAUAGGGGGUGAUAGUCCCGUAAGCGAAAAUAAUUAGUCUCUUUUAUUGUUAUUCUUGAGUACCCCAGGACAUCAAUAGCCGGGGGGAAUCUACCAGAACUAACUGGUAAGGCUAAAUACUCUUACAGAUCGAUAGUGAACAAGUACCGUGAGGGAAAGGUGAAAAGUAGUCCGAUAAGGACGGUGAAAUAGACCUGAACCCGUGUGUCUACAAGGAGUCGAUGCUCGCAUUUAUGUGAGCUACGGCGUGCCUAUUGAAGAAUGAGCCAACGAGUUUAUGCAUGCUGCUCGGCUAAGCUGGCUAAAACAGCGAAGCCAAAGGGAAACCAAGUGUUAAUAGCGCGUAAUUGGUAACAUGCAUAAGACCCGAAGCCAGGUGAGCUUGCCAUGAGCAGGUUGAAGCCGCGCGAAAGCGUGGUGGAGGACCGAACCGGUAGAUCGUACAACGUCUUCGGAUGACUUGUGGUAAGGAGUGAAAAGCUAAUCGAACCUGGUAAUAGCUGGUUCUCUCCGAAAUAGCUUUAGGGCUAGCGUCGCGUGUUUCUUUUGGGGGUAGAGCACUGGAAGGUCUCAACAGGGAGCAAUCUCGUGAGACCUAUCAAACUCCGAAUACCAGAAGUAAGAACGCGGCAGUUAGGCUAUGGGGGCGAAGCUCCAUUAGCCAAAAGGGAAACAGCCCGGAUCUCAAAAUAAGGUCCCUAAAUAUAUACUAAGUGUAAGACAAGAAGGUGAAAUUUCUUUGACAAUGAGGAGGUUGGCUUAGAAGCAGCCACCCUUUAAAGAUAGCGUAACAGCUCACUCAUCUAGAGAUUUUGCGUCGAAAAUAAUUGGGGCUAAGUAUAUUACCGAAUUUGAGGAUUUUAAUUGUCUUCGGACACCUAAAGUGGUAGGAGAGUGUUCCAAUCUGCAGUGAAGGAGGACUCGUGAGAGCCUCUGGAGCGUUUGGAAGUAAGAAUGUUGGCACAAGUAACCGCAAUGGGGCUGAGAACGCCCCACGUCGAAAGAUCAAGGUUUCCUUGGUAAUGUUAAUCAUCCAAGGGUUAGUCGGGCCUAAGAGGAUGGCGAAAGCCGUACUCGAUGGACAUAGGGUUAAUAUUCCCUGACUUCCAUAUUUUGUGACGGAGUGACGGAGUGUAGUAUGUUUCGCUCAUUAUUGGAUUUGAAGUUUGUGUAUAGAGGACUUUAUACAGGAAAAUCCGUAUAGUGCCUUUAAUGGCAAGUCCCAAAUAUAUGAAGAAUUUAGUACCACGGUACUAGAUAAUGAAACAAAGCACGCUCCCAAGAAAAGCUUCUAAACUUAGAAAUAUGGGAUCCGUACCGCAAACCGACACAGGUGAUCAGGUCGAGUAGACCAAGACGAACGAGUGAUUGGUCCCCAAGGAACUCGGCAAAAAAGCAGCCGUAACUUCGGGAUAAGGCUUGCCCCUCUUUAACGGAGGGGCCGCAGCGAAAGUAUUCCUGCCAACUGUUUACCAAAAACACAGCUCCCUGCGAACUCGUAAGAGGAUGUAUAGGGGGUGACACCUGACCAAUGCCAGAAGGUCAAACAACGCCGUUGAGAUUAUAUCAAGGUGAGUGUUGUAAGCCCUGGUGAAUGUCGGCCGUAACUAUAACGGUCCUAAGGUUCUGCACAUAAUGCAAAUUGUGCGCGGAAUGACUGGGACCGUUAAGAAAAAGGUAAAUCAGUAAAUUAGAAAAUCAUAUGACCAAUUCGAAUGCUACCUGCUGUGCAGUAAUGUACAGCCAGUCAAAACCUGACUAACGAGAGACCAGCGUCAGGCAUCCUCAAGCUUUUGUUUACAAAAGUUCGGAUGAAGAUAGAGUCCUUCUUAGGUAUAGAAGAGCGAAAUACCUUGUCGGGUAAAUUCCGACGCGCACGAAUGGUGUAAUGAGUGGGAAACUGUCUCGGGGACCAGCUCGGUGAAAAUACAAUACCGGUGAAGAUGCCGGUUAAGUGCAGUUAGACGAAAAGACCCUAGAAGCUUUACUAUAGCUUGAUAUUGAAUAUGUUCUUAGACUGCGUAGAAUAGAUGGGAGGGGUUUGAUGUGUACGAUCUCGGUUGUACUCUACUCGACAGUGAAAUACCAUUCUUUUUGAGGGCAUAUUCUAACCAAAGUGGCAAAAACAUUUUGAGACAGUAUCUGGUGGGUAGUUUUACUGGGGCUGUACCCUCCUAAAAAGUAAAGGAGGGGUUUAAAGGUCAGCUAGGCGCGAAUGGAAACCGUGCCGAUAGUGUAAUGGCACAAGCUGGCUUGACUGUAAGAGGUACAUCUCAAGCAGGUGGGAAACCAGAACAUAGUGAUCCGACCAUUCGCAUUAGAUGCGGUGGGAGCUCAACGGAUAAAAGCUACUCUAGGGAUAACAGGCUAGUUCCGCCCAAGAGUUCAUAUCGACGGCGGAGUUCGGCACCUCGAUGUCGGCUCACCUUAGCGCGGCGGUGGAGAAGCUGCCAAGCGUUUGGCUGUUCGCCAAUUAAAAAGGUACGCGAGCUGGGUUCAGACCGUUUAGAACCUCACCCUAACCCUCUCCUGACAGGAGAGGGAAAAAUCAAAUUUAUUUGAUUUGGGUGAGGUGAUGGACAGUCUGAAUCCCAGAGAGGAAGAAAGAACUUUUUUAAAAAAGAACUGAAACUGUUUUAAUCGGAAACAACUACGUUACAUUAAAAUUUAUUUUUACAUGUAACAUCACGGCGGCGUGUUGUAGUAAUACAACACGAGAAGCUAACUUAUAUCGAAGAAACCCCACUUCUAGAAAUAGAGAGGGUGACGUCGAGGGAAUAUGUAUGUAAAUACAUUGCCCGUAGAGACUGAACGUUAGACAACUGCUUAGGAAUAAGAAGUUGAAGUCACAGUCCAAUCCCCACAGUAAUGUGGGACGUAGAUGCGUGAGACAGGUUGGUCUCCUAUCUACUGCACUCGUUGAUUCUUGAGAAGAUUUGCUCCUAGUACGAGAGGACCGGAGUGAACUGACCUCUGGUGUACGAGCUCUACUGCCAAGUGGACUGCUCGGUAGCUAUGUCGGGAAUGGAUAACCUCUGAAAGCAUCUAAGAGGGAAGCCAGCUUCAAGAUUAGGAAUCGUUUAGAACCCUGAGAGAUGAUCAGGUUGAUAGGCUUUAAGUGUAAGCACAGUAAUGUGUAGAGCUGAGAAGUACUAAUGUUUCGAUUCCUGUUAAG
rnacentral:rRNA from 1 species